rnacentral:rRNA from 1 species
CUACGGGGUGUGCAGUGGGGAAUAUUGGACAAUGGGCGCAAGCCUGAUCCAGCAAUGCCGCGUGAGUGAAGACGGCCUUAGGGUUGUAAAACUCUUUCGCUAGGGAAGAUAAUGACUGUACCUAGUAAAGAAGUCCCGGCUAGCUCCGUGCCAGCAGCCGCGGUAAUACGGAGGGGACUAGCGUUGUUCGGAAUUACUGGGCGUAAAGAGUUCGUAGGCGGACUGACAAGUUAGAGGUGAAAUCCCAGGGCUCAACCCUGGAACUGCCUUUAAAACUGUCAGUCUAGAGACCGGAAGAGGUUAGGGGAAUACCUAGUGUAGAGGUGAAAUUCGUAGAUAUUAGGUGGAACACCAGUGGCGAAGGCGCCUAACUGGUCCGGUACUGACGCUGAGGAACGAAAGCGUGGGGAGCAAACAGGAUUAGAUACCCGUGUAGUC